rnacentral:rRNA from 1 species
CGCGGCCUAUCAGCUUGUUGGUGAGGUAGUGGCUCACCAAGGCGACGACGGGUAGCCGGCCUGAGAGGGUGACCGGCCACACUGGGACUGAGACACGGCCCAGACUCCUACGGGAGGCAGCAGUGGGGAAUAUUGCACAAUGGGCGCAAGCCUGAUGCAGCGACGCCGCGUGAGGGAUGACGGCCUUCGGGUUGUAAACCUCUUUCAGUAGGGAAGAAGCGAAAGUGACGGUACCUGCAGAAGAAGCGCCGGCUAACUACGUGCCAGCAGCCGCGGUAAUACGUAGGGCGCAAGCGUUAUCCGGAUUUAUUGGGCGUAAAGAGCUCGUAGGCGGUUUGUCGCGUCUGCCGUGAAAGUCCGGGGCUUAACCCCGGAUCUGCGGUGGGUACGGGCAGACUAGAGUGAUGUAGGGAGACUGGAAUUCCUGGUGUAGCGGUGAAAUGCGCAGAUAUCAGGAGGAACACCGAUGGCGAAGGCAGGUCUCUGGGCAUUAACUGACGCUGAGGAGCGAAAGCAUGGGGAGCGAACAGGAUUAGAUACCCUGGUAGUCCAUGCCGUAAACGUUGGGCACUAGGUGUGGGGAACAUUCCACGUUUUCCGCGCCGUAGCUAACGCAUUAAGUGCCCCGCCUGGGGAGUACGG